rnacentral:lncRNA from 1 species
GUCAGCAGGCCGCACACGCGCCGGACCGGGUACCGCUGUGCCCGGCCUGGCCGCGGCCUAGUCCCGGCAGACGGGACUGACGAGGUCACCAAGCCCAGGCCGAGACGGCGCGGGUGUCAGGGACUUGGGAAUCCCCCUCCCCCAGUCCCGAUCCCGCUUUCCUUUGGGGUUUCACCUCAGAGGACCCGACAGCACUCUUGCAGUUUCCUCAUCCUCAAGAUGGACUGCACCUUCUGGCAUCUCAAGUGGUUCUUGUGAAGAUUAAAUGAAUCCAUCAGGCCGGGUGCGGUGGCUCACGCCUGUAAUCCCAGCACUUUGGGAGGCCGAGACGAGCGCAUCACCUGAGGUCAGGAGUUCCAGACCAGCCUGGCCAACAAGCUGCCAGCAGCCUUGAAGCCACCUGGGACUGCACAGUAUGUCUGUGUGUGCCUUGAUCGCAUCACCCCCUGGACCUCCAGUGACCGAGAUCUCCCGCCAGACACCCGGGGCUGAGUCCUCGGAGAAGCCGCCUGCCGGGUGCAUCACCAGGACUCCAUUGGUGGUCAGUCCAUCCAUCAGGCCAUCUGGGGUCCGCCAUUUGGCCGCUCGCUCCUGGGACCACAUGAGGGAUCAGAUCACAUCCCCCAGGGGCCCCCCAGCAGGCCAUGUGCCAGAGGCACUGCCCCCGCUACCUUCAAGUUCAGAGGCGGCCCAGAGAGGACUGGCAUUGAAGCUGCAUGACUUGAGCGUCUCUCUGGGCCUCACUUUGCUCAUCAGUUAGGUGGGGUUGCUAACUGCCAGGACCACCAUUUGGAUUACUGUGGGCUGGUUCAUCACCUCAAGAUGCUGCACCUCCCAA